CUCUGUGAUAAUAUCUUUCCUCCGAACCCAGCAAGCAAAUCGUCAAAAUCAGAAGCACCUCUAUCAUCCUUCUCCGAUCUCUUUCUCCCCUUCGAUUCCUUACCGAACCCGCCGAGAAGAUCAUCAAACUCGCCGGCGCGAAGACGUUAUCAAAUUUAACCUUGGUCGACGAGCUCUUCAGCCCCGGCACCUCUAUCAUCCUUCUCCGAUCUCUUUCAGUUUUGGAUACCACACAGCAAGGUGAAGCAGGCACUCUUGAGAAUUGUUGUAUUAGUAAUUCUGCAAUCCAAAUCUCUGGAUCACUGACAUACUUUCUUCCAUACAACUAUUACCUUGCAUAUCAGAUAUUAUUCAUAUUGCCAGUUUCUCACACUUUCAAACUUGAAUAACCUUUAUGAUGCAUUCAGAUUGUGAUCACUGGUGGAGGAGCAGCCUUGAUUGAUAAAGUUGGCAGGAAGCCGGUACUUGUUUUACCAUUGUGGCCUUUAUUUUUUGGUUCAUUUGGGAAUCACUUAUUAUGGUCCAGUAACAAGUGCGCCAGGUGAAUCUAUGACUUAAGAACAAAGUCAUAUGCUAUGACUUCAUUCAUGAUAUAAGGCAACACAUGUUAGACUUGCUGCCAUUGCAGUUGGAUGGUACCAGGUUAACUGAAAAAGUCUAUUGAUCCUUAUUGGUGAUAUUUAAACAUUGUUUUGUGCUACUGGAAUAUACAAAAUUGAUAAUUAUUUGCAAAUGAAAAGAAACAUUUUCUCUGGUACUGACUUUUAGAUUUUUUAUUUCAUUUUGGAAAGAUGGAAAGAUAAAUUACACCUUCUAGGAAGAAUUGAUCCCAAGAUCUUCUCUCCCCAACCCAUAUGUCCCCAAUGCUUACCACUUGAUCUACUAUUUGGGGACAAAUUCAUUAGAAUUUUUGGUACAUUAGAAAGAUAAAUUACACCCAGAUUGAUCCAUGGACCUUCCUCUCUCAACCUAUAUAUCCCCGGCUCUUAUAAGAAAUAAUCUAUAUAUUCCAUUCUAUUUAUCUCAAUGAUGUUUCUUUCAAAUCAUAAAGAAACUUUUUCAAUUUGAUUAGGGUAUGAACACUUGUGUCUCUUUUUGUUAACAAGUUCAAUUUGAUUAUCUAAAGAUAUAUGUGUAUACUAUUUUUACUUUUUAGGUGGAUGAUGAUCUUAAGCAGGAACUUUUCAUACCUUAAAACAGGAUUUCUCCAAAACUGUUAUAUUGAUUUAUAAUCUAAGAAUGAGCUUGAUACUAUUCAAGUUCACUACUUAUGGUUUAACACCUUCCAUUUGCUGAUUCUUUAUUCAAUUAAUUUGGUUAUAUACAUUAUGCUUUCACUUCUUAUUGUAGAAUGAUCACAUGUUGUGGUGGUUUCCAUUGUGAGUUGGACAUUAAUUAUGUUUUGUUGCUUAGCAGAGGAAGGUACAGAUUAUUCAAAUGUGGAUUAUGCUUGACUAUGUAUAUCCUUUUCAAUAACGAAGGAAGGCAGGAGGAGUCGAUCUUUGAAGGGGUUCAACUCAGAGAAUGGAAUUAGUUAUCAGGUAGAAUGAAAGGUUUUGAUUGCUCAGUUAAUGAGUGGUUGGCACAACCUAUUUGUUGUCUCAAAACUGUGGGCUAGACCUGUGUUGAUAUAGUUGGGUUUUUUGGCUGCUACUCUUAUGAUUACUGUUGCUGCUGCAUCUGUUACUGGUAUGGAUUUUAUGGUUUCAUGUGGAUAUGAAUAUUUGGAUGGGCAUUAUUGAGUCUAAUUGCGAGACACAUUGACAGAUUGGACAGGCACAUUAACUGGUCGUUUUGUGCCUCCUUGUAGCUUUUUUUUUCCUUUUACAAGCGCCUACUAUUAUAGUGCACAUGUGGUUUUUUUUC